GACGAACGCUGGCGGCGUGCCUAAUACAUGCAAGUAGAACGCUGAAGAGAGGAGCUUGCUCUUCUUGGAUGAGUUGCGAACGGGUGAGUAACGCGUAGGUAACCUGCCUUGUAGCGGGGGAUAACUAUUGGAAACGAUAGCUAAUACCGCAUAACAAUGGAUGACACAUGUCAUUUAUUUGAAAGGGGCAAUUGCUCCACUACAAGAUGGACCUGCGCUGUAUUAGCUAGUAGGUGAGGUAAUGGCUCACCUAGGCGACGAUACAUAGCCGACCUGAGAGGGUGAUCGGCCACACUGGGACUGAGACACGGCCCAGACUCCUACGGGAGGCAGCAGUAGGGAAUCUUCGGCAAUGGGGGCAACCCUGACCGAGCAACGCCGCGUGAGUGAAGAAGGUUUUCGGAUCGUAAAGCUCUGUUGUAAGUCAAGAACGGGUGUGAGAGUGGAAAGUUCACACUGUGACGGUAGCUUACCAGAAAGGGACGGCUAACUACGUG
rnacentral:rRNA from 1 species